UACGGAGGGUGCAAACGUUGCUCGGAAUCAUUGGGCGUAAAGCGCACGUAGGCGGCCUUGUAAGUCGGAUGUGAAAUCCCUGGGCUUAGCCGAGGAAGUGCAUUCGAAACUGCAAGACUUGAGUACAGGAGAGGAUCGCGGAAUUCCCGGUGUAGAGGUGAAAUUCGUAGAUAUCGGGAGGAACACCAGAGGCGAAGGCGGCGAUCUGGACUGAUACUGACGCUGAGGUGCGAAAGCGUGGGGAGCGAACCGG
rnacentral:rRNA from 1 species